rnacentral:rRNA from 1 species
GACGAACGCUGGCGGCGUGCUUAACACAUGCAAGUCGAACGGAAAGACCCUGCUUUUGUGGGGUGCUCGAGUGGCGAACGGGUGAGUAACACGUGAGUAACCUGCCCUUGACUUUGGGAUAACUUCAGGAAACUGGGGCUAAUACCGGAUAGGAGCUCCUGCUGCAUGGUGGGGGUUGGAAAGUUUCGGCGGUUGGGGAUGGACUCGCGGCUUAUCAGCUUGUUGGUGGGGUAGUGGCUUACCAAGGCUUUGACGGGUAGCCGGCCUGAGAGGGUGACCGGCGACAUUGGGACUGAGAUACGGCCCAGACUCCUACGGGAGGCAGCAGUGGGGAAUAUUGCACAAUGGGCGGAAGCCUGAUGCAGCAACGCCGCGUGCGGGAUGACGGCCUUCGGGUUGUAAACCGCCUUCGCCUGUGACGAAGCGUGAGUGACGGUAAUGGGUAAAGAAGCACCGGCUAACUACGUG